rnacentral:rRNA from 1 species
CAGCGCCACAAGUGGGAAUCGCUUUUAUUGGGCCUAAAGCGUCCGUAGCCGGUUUAGCAAAUCUUUUGUGAAAUCGUCAGGCUUAACUUGACGAAUUGCAGAAGACACUACUAAACUAGGGACUGGGAGGAGUCAGAAGUAUUCUGGGGGGACCGGUAAAAUGGUAUAAUCCCCAGAGGACUACCGAUGGCGAAGGCAUCUGACCAGAACAGAUCCGACGGUGAGGGACGAAAGCCAGGGGAGCAAACCGGAUUAGAUACCCGAGUAGUCC